CAGGAUGAACGCUGGCGGCGUAGCUUAACACGAUGCAAAGUCGAGCGAAGUCAUUUAAAGGAAGUUUCGGAUGGAAUUUAGAAUGACUUAGCGGCGGACGGGUGAGUAACGCGUGGGUAACCUGCCUCAUACAGGGGGAUAACAGUUAGAAAUGACUGCUAAUACCGCAUAAGCGCACAGUGCUGCAUAGUACAGUGUGAAAAACUCCGGUGGUAUGAGAUGGACCCGCGUCUGAUUAGGUAGUUGGUGAGGUAACGGCCCACCAAGCCGACGAUCAGUAGCCGACCUGAGAGGGUGACCGGCCACAUUGGGACUGAGACACGGCCCAAACUCCUACGGGAGGCAGCAGUGGGGAAUAUUGGACAAUGGGGGGAAACCCUGGAAUCCAGCGACGCCGCGUGAGUGAAGAAGUAUUUCGGUAUGUAAAGCUCUAUCAGCAGGGAAGAAAAUGACGGUACCUGACUAAGAAGCCCCGGCUAACUACGUGCCAGCAGCGGC
rnacentral:rRNA from 1 species